GGCAAUACUCAUAACAAAAAUACUUAAAACAUUACACUUCCACUCACAACCUGGAACAGAACCCAGGAAUUGUGCGUCUCAGCAGCUUGGACCCAUAAAGGGUAACACAAACAGAUCCAAUGUGAUUGCAAGGACCAAGGGAUUCCGUCUACAUGGCAGAAGAUAUAAAUGGUCCUGGAAACCCUUCAUUUUGUCUGCAAUUCUGCUUCUUACCUCUGCAGGAACUUUGCUACAAACUGAAGCUCCAAACAAAGGACAGAAGUACCCAUCAAAGCUGUGGGAGUACUUCAGAGAAUCAGCUUAAGCCGUCAGUUUUUCAUCUCUGCUACAAGCCUGAACCAAGAACUUGGCAAUUCUUGUAUAUAUUUGAUUCCUUUACCAAUUUCAACUUUCACAUCUCUUUCUUUUAUGAAUAAACCUUUAUAUUUUAGGUACGUACCCGACUGGCAUCAGAGUGACUUUGAGAAACACGCUUGGAUUCCAGAUUAAAGUUCGCUAAUAUAUUGUAAGAAUUUAAAUUGACAAGUGCAUGAACAAGAACAACAACCAACAAAUCCAACCCCCACCCCAAAACAGAAGAGAACAAAGACAGAAAGAUCCCCAAUAUAGUCACUGAUGACAAUCACCAUUUUAAGUGUGCAAUUUACCAAAAUUCUGUACACAACAAUGGCACUAAAACUGUUAUGAACAGCUCAACAUUAUAAAAUUAGAGUACCUCUAACAGUGGGUACCUCAUGACCGGAGGAAAGAACAUCAAUAGUUCCCAAUGAUGCUGAGCUUGUAGAGGACAGCCUGAGAGAGAGCCAAGUGCUUUUGAGAUACAGCAAGGGCUGACCCAGAUGAACCCAGAAGGAAUCCAAAGAGGAAGAGGGUAGGGGCGUUCAUGUAGGUGUACUAAUACUUACUUCUUUCCCUUUUCUCUCUCUUCAUGGUCCCUGAAACUCCACCCCAUAACCCUCCCCCUUCCAAAAAGUGUAAAGACAGAAGACACAGGGAUUGCUUUGUGAAUAGGGCUGCCAGUUUUGGGUGGAUGUAUUCCUGGAGG